rnacentral:rRNA from 1 species
GAAACGAACGCUAAUACCGCAUAAUGUCAGAGGACGGCAUCGUCUUUUGACCAAAGAUUUAUCGCUGAAAGAUGGGCUCGCGGCCGAUUAGGUAGUUGGUGAGAUAAUAGCCCACCAAGCCGACGAUCGGUAGCCGGACUGAGAGGUUGAACGGCCACAUUGGGACUGAGACACGGCCCAGACUCCUACGGGAGGCAGCAGUGGGGGAUAUUGCACAAUGGGGGAAACCCUGAUGCAGCGACGCCGCGUGAGGGAAGACGGCCUUCGGGUUGUAAACCUCUGUCUUCGGGGACGAAUAAUGACGGUACCCGAGGAGGAAGCCACGGCUAACUACGUGCCAGCAGCCGCGGUAAUACGUAGGUGGCAAGCGUUGUCCGGAAUUACUGGGUGUAAAGGGAGCGUAGGCGGGGAGGCAAGUUGAAUGUCUAAACUAUCGGCUCAACUGAUAGUCGCGUUCAAAACUGCCACUCUUGAGUGCAGUAGAGGUAGGCGGAAUUCCUAGUGUAGCGGUGAAAUGCGUAGAUAUUAGGAGGAACACCAGUGGCGAAGGCGGCCUACUGGGCUGUAACUGACGCUGAGGCUCGAAAGCGUGGGUAGCAAACAGGAUUAGAUACCCUGGUAGUCCACGCCGUAAACGAUGAUUGCUAGGUGUGGGGGGACUGACCCCUUCCGUGCC